UACGUAGGUCCCGAGCGUUGUCCGGAUUUAUUGGGCGUAUAGCGAGCGCAGGUGGUUUAUUAAGUCUGGUGUAAAAGGCAGUGGCUCAACCAUUGUAUGCAUUGGAAACUGGUAGACUUGAGUGCAGGAGAGGAGAGUGGAAUUCCAUGUGUAGCGGUGAGAUGCGUAGAUAUAUGGAGGAACACCGGUGGCGAAAGCGGCUCUCUGGCCUGUAACUGACACUGAGGCUCGAAAGCGUGGGGAGCAAACAGG
rnacentral:rRNA from 1 species